GUCCAUUUUCCCUCUCAUCACCCUUUUCUCCUCUGUCAAACAUUCAAGCGUAAACAUCGGGACAGUGGCCACGGCCACCCCCCCGUGCAAAUGUGGGCACGGAAAGGCAAGGGACGCCCAGCAGUGCAUACAGAGGCAGAGAGUCAGAGACACAUCUCUCACACCUCACCACCCCACACACACCCCACAGCGCCCCUCCCCCACCACCACCACUCUCGAUUUGUAAUGAUCCUUCCGCAGGUUCACCUACGGAAA
rnacentral:misc_RNA from 1 species